rnacentral:lncRNA from 1 species
UCUAAAUUCGAUCCUCAAUACCGGUAAAAAAAGCGGGAAAGAGAUAAACCCUCCCAGGUCACGCCCACAGUAAACCCCCCCUUAGGAACAGCAAAUCAGCUUUAACAUCCUGUCACCCACUCCCAUGAGCCUUUGGGGGCCACUGUCUUUCUAUGCCCUGACAGAGGGUAUCAGGGUUAAAUGUGUGACCCCAACCCUCAAGAAAUUCAGAGUCUAGGGAGACCCCAAGGAGAACCAGAUAAGAAUGGCCAGAUAAAUGCUAUGACUGACUCAGAAAAACCUCAGACCAGUGUUGCUGGCUGCUUCAAUCUGAAACAUGAAGAAGUAGCUUCUGCGUCACUAAAUGAGGUGGGAGCCCUGGGCCCAGAAAGCUUCGGUAGUGUUGAAGACCGGAAGCAGGCAAAGAUACCUGAGCAGCCCACCCCCCAUUCAGCAGGAGCCUGAGCCCAUCAGCAGCGUGCUCCAGGGAGGCGACAUUCUUGCCUUGGCCAUAAAGAAGAGGACUUGAAGAAAG